AACGCGAAGAACCUUACCCAGACUUGACAUGCAGAGGACGAGUAUAGAGAUAUACUUUCCCUUCGGGGCUUCUGCACAGGUGCUGCAUGGCUGUCGUCAGCUCGUGCCGUGAGGUGUUUGGUUAAGUCCAGCAACGAGCGCAACCCUUAUCAUUAGUUGCCAACAUGUUAUGGUGGGAACUCUAGUGAGACUGCCUGGGUUAACCAGGAGGAAGGUGAGGAUGACGUCAAGUCCGCAUGGCCCUUAUGUCUGGGGCUACACACGUGCUACAAUGGUCGGUACAGAAGGCAGCGAAACCGCGAGGUGGAGCAAAUCCCUAAAACCGAUCCCAGUUCAGAUUGUAGUCUGCAACUCGACUACAUGAAGUUGGAAUUGCUAGUAAUGGCGAGUCAGCUACAUCGCCGUGAAUACGUUCCCGGGCCUUGUACACACCGAGACGAC
rnacentral:rRNA from 1 species